rnacentral:lncRNA from 1 species
CAGGGAUGGACACACGGGAUGGACACACGGACACAGGGAUGGACACACGGACAGGGGAUGGACACAGGGAUGGACACACGGGGAUGGACACACGCAGCGACUCCACCGCCUUGUCCCGCACCACCGUCUCCUCCACCGUGGCCAGGCUCUCCAGGGGCGGCUGCCAGACACAGGGAUGGACACACGGACACAGGGACAGGGGAUGGACACAGGGAUGGACACAGGGAUGGACACACAGGGAUGGACACACGGACACGGACACAUGGACACACGGGGAUGGACACAGGGAUGGACACAGGGAUGGACACACGGACACGGACACAUGGACACGGGGAUGGACACACAGGGAUGGACACACAGGGAUGGACACACGGACACGGACACAUGGACACAGGGAUGGACACACGGGGAUGGACACAGGGAUGGACACACGGGAUGGACACACGGGGAUGGACACAGGGAUGGACACAGGGAUGGACACACGGGAUGGACACACGGACACAGGGAUGGACACACGGACACAGGGAUGGACACAGGGACUCCCCAGAUGUGUCUUUCCCUCCCCCCAGGUGUAUUUUGGGACCCUCCAGGUGUAUUUUGGGACCCCCCAGGUGCAUUUUGGGGCCCUUCCAGGUGUAUUUUCCCCUCCCCAGGUGUAUUUUGGGACCCUCCAGGUGUAUUUUUCCCCCUCCCCAGGUGUUUUUUCCCCCCUAAGUGCAUUUUUGGAACUCCCCAGGUACAUUUUGGGACUCCCAGGUGUGUUUUUGGGGCUCCCAGGUGUAUUUUGGGGUUCCCAGGUGUGCUUUCAGGGCUCCCAGGUGUGUUUUUGGGGCUCCCAGGUGUGUUUUUCUCCCCCCCAGGUGUGUUUUUGGUGCUCCCAGGUGUACUUCAGGGCUCCCAGGUGUGUUUCUCUCCCCCCCAGGUGUGUUUUCGGGGCUCCCAGGUGUGUUUCUCUCCCCCCCAGGUGUGUUUUCAUCCCCCCCAGGUGUAUUUCGGGGCUCCCAGGUGUGUUUCUCUCCCCCCCAGGUGUGUUUUCGGGGCUCCCAGGUGUGAUUUAUCCCCCCCAGGUGUGUUUUCGGGGUUCCCAGGUAUGUUUUCAUCCCCCCCAGGUGUGUUUUCGGGGUCCCCAGGUGUGUUUCUCUCCCCCCCAGGUGUGUUUUCGGGGCUCCCAGGUGUGUUUCUCUCCCCCCCAGGUGUGUUUUUCUCCCCCCAGGUGUGAUUUAUCCCCCCCAGGUGUGUUUUCGGGGCUCCCAGGUGUGUUUCUCUCCCCCCCAGGUGUGUUUUUUCCCCCCCAGGUGUAUUUCG